UCAAUCUCGCGGAUCGAUAAGUUGCCACUCCGAGAGAGGAGGGCUGUGUCCCCUCGGAGACGAGUUACCCAGGGCAACCUUUCACAGAAAAACCCGCUGCCCGCAGAGAGCCGCGCCGGGCCCGACCGAGCAGUGGCGCCCGCCCCAAGCAGGGCGUCUGUGUUCCGCCGUUCCCCAGCCCAAGCUCCCUGCGCAUUGAGCUGUCCCGCCUGGCCCCGCUCGCCGCUGGAAGCCCCGGGACUCCCAUCCUGUGCUGGGCUGGUGGAGAGGGAAGAGGCUACCCCGCACCCCCGCCACUAAGGAGAGCGGGGGUCUGGGGAGGAGAAGAAGGGAGGGGACCGAGCUAACGUCCCCCUACGCCAUUUCGGAGAAAAACUGGUGUUUGAAGGAAAAUUCCAGCGCUGCAAAAAGCCUGUGGCUCCCACCCAAAGGAUCUCAAAGGUUCACUCGAAGCUCCAGCCAAUUGGGGCAACCCCUGUGGAACCGAGACUGGCUGGGAACUUCUGAGAACUUCCAGAUGCACCCAGACUUCCCUGGACAGACAACCCCACCAAUCUGUCCUGGAUCUCCACUUCCCCAGAGCCCUUCCCUACUAGAGAAAGAGAAAGGCAGGCUGGGAGUAUGGAUUGACCAGUCAAUGCCCAUGUUCAGCAGGGAAGCAAUUACAAAAGCCAGACCUUCCAC